rnacentral:rRNA from 1 species
AGAUUGAACGCUGGCGGCAGGCCUAACACAUGCAAGUCGAGCGGUAGAGAGGUGCUUGCAUCUCUUGAGAGCGGCGGACGGGUGAGUAAUGCCUAGGAAUCUGCCUAGUGGUGGGGGAUAACGUUCGGAAACGGACGCUAAUACCGCAUACGUCCUACGGGAGAAAGCGGGGGACCUUCGGGCCUCGCGCCAUUAGAUGAGCCUAGGUCGGAUUAGCUAGUUGGUGAGGUAAUGGCUCACCAAGGCGACGAUCCGUAACUGGUCUGAGAGGAUGAUCAGUCACACUGGAACUGAGACACGGUCCAAGACUCCGUACGGGA